GUGAAUCAUCAAAUCUUUGAACGCAAAUUGCACUCUCUUCGGAGAGUAUGCCUGUUUGAGGGUCAGCCUAAAAAAAAAUCGACAUAGUUGCUGUUUUCGCGGUGACAUUCGUCGGAAAUUGGGUCAUUUUAAACUUUUGGGUUUUAAGCGGCUUAAAAUUUUCUUUACGAUUCCACGAACGGUUCUAAGAUAUUUAAUUCUUACACGUUUAGGGUAUCGUUCUUAAUUAGACGUGGCCGUUGCAUCGGAUCACGUCCAUAAAUAU
rnacentral:misc_RNA from 1 species